rnacentral:rRNA from 1 species
UACGGAGGAUGCGAGCGUUAUCCGGAUUUAUUGGGUUUAAAGGGUGCGUAGGCGGCCGUAGUAAGUCAGCGGUGUAAAUUUUGCAGCUUAACUGUAACAGUGCCGUUGAUACGUGCAUGGCUAGGAUUUGGUUGCUGUGGGUGGAAUGUGUGGUGUAGCGGUGAAAUGCUUAGAUAUCACACAGAAUACCAAUUGCGAAGGCAGCUCACAAAGCCAAGAUUGACGCUGAGGCACGAAAGGUGUGGGGAUCAAACA